UGGGGGCGCAACGCCCUCGAC
rnacentral:snRNA from 1 species